rnacentral:rRNA from 1 species
CCUACGGGCGGCUGCAGUGGGGAAUAUUGGACAAUGGGGGGAACCCUGAUCCAGCCAUGCCGCGUGUGUGAAGAAGGCCCUCAGGUUGUAAAGCACUUUCAGUGAGGAAGAACGCCUGGUGGUUAAUACCCAUCAGGAAAGACAUCACUCACAGAAGAAGCACCGGCUAACUCCGUGCCAGCAGCCGCGGUAAUACGGAGGGUGCGAGCGUUAAUCGGAAUUACUGGGCGUAAAGCGCGCGUAGGUGGCUUGAUAAGCCGGUUGUGAAAGCCCCGGGCUCAACCUGGGAACGGCAUCCGGAACUGUCAAGCUAGAGUGCAGGAGAGGAAGGUAGAAUUCCCGGUGUAGCGGUGAAAUGCGUAGAGAUCGGGAGGAAUACCAGUGGCGAAGGCGGCCUUCUGGACUGACACUGACACUGAGGUGCGAAAGCGUGGGUAGCAAACAGGAUUAGAUACCCGUGUAGUC